rnacentral:rRNA from 1 species
ACGAACGCUGGCGGCGUGCUUAACACAUGCCAGUCGAACGGAAAGGCCCUGCUUUUGUGGGGUGCUCGAGUGGCGAACGGGUGAGUAGCACGUGAGUAACCUGCCCUUGACUUUGGGAUAACUUCAGGAAACUGGGGCUAAUACCGGAUAGGAGCUCCUGCUGCAUGGUGGGGGUUGGAAAGUUUCGGCGGUUGGGGAUGGACUCGCGGCUUAUCAGCUUGUUGGUGGGGUAGUGGCUUACCAAGGCUUUGACGGGUAGCCGGCCUGAGAGGGUGACCGGCCACAUUGGGACUGAGAUACGGCCCAGACUCCUACGGGAGGCAGCAGUGGGGAAUAUUGCACAAUGGGCGGGAGCCUGAUGCAGCAACGCCGCGUGCGGGAUGACGGCCUUCGGGUUGUAAACCGCUUUCGCCUGUGACGAAGCGUGAGUGACGGUAAUGGGUAAAGAAGCACCGGCUAACUACGUG